GGCCCUAUAGCAUAGCCUGGAUAGUGCAACCGGCUUCGGACCGGUAGACGAGGGUUCGAAUCCUUCUAGGGUCA
rnacentral:tRNA from 1 species